CUGCAGCCUCGGGAAGGCGCUGUCCGCGCUGUCCCCAUGGACGCCUCCGAACGCCGUGAAGUCCUCCACGCUCAGCUCAUCGUGCAGCACCAGCAGGACAGUGCGGGGUCCCCGGGUGAGGGCGGGUUCCAACAGCGCCCCCAACUGGUGGUCCUCCAACAGAUGCCCAGCAGCCGGCAGGGGGGGGGCGGUGGGGCCAGACCAAAGCCCACUGGCGGUGGACCAGGCCACGAGCGGCACCGCCCCCCCCGCCGCGGCUCCGCGCAGCGCCGCGGAGAAGCAGAGCAGCAUCACCGCCGCCGCCGCCAUUUUGCCG
rnacentral:lncRNA from 1 species